rnacentral:ncRNA from 2 species
AGGGCAUUUCCUGGGGAUUAAUGACUGUCUGGGGUCAUCAUCUCCUCCCAGUUAGUUAUUAGUCCCCCAGGAAAUACUGUGUGCCUU